CUUUUAUGAUGGAGCAAGGCAAAAUUGUUCGGAACUUGAUUCAAGGCCCCUCGAAAUAAAUUCAAACAAGGAAAAGAAGUUUGUUUCCAACGCUGUCGAACGAUACGUAACAUACUGGAUUGGAAAAUGCGCAGGCAGGAAUGUGGCCUCUGAUCUUGUGUACGAGUUAAGCUAUGAAACGCCCACCUGCAUUAAGUGCGGAUCGAGUUACCGUUACAGUUGCAAAAGUAAAUUCAGAUUCAUCUGCGAGAAGACGGCAUAUUUAUACCCGGAUAUUCCUGAAGAGGUCCAAGGUCUCUGUCAACUGCCUUUCGAGCCGAAUUCAAUCAAGUGACUUCACCCCACUUCUCCCCAUUCAAUCUAGCUCACCUUCAAUCUCCAUUCUUUCAUCAUCUCCUACCCUCACUUCCCCUCCUUCCUACCCCAGCCUCCACUACUCACAUCCCCA